UCCCGGGUCAGUGUCUGGACCUGCCGUGGCCCGCCUCCGCUGAUCUGGGGCGGCGGCGUGUUUUCCACUGCAGUUCUCCCCUUGGUCACAGGCAGCUGCCUCCCGGACUGGACUCAGAUCCAUCCUAGAAGGGGGUCUUCCUGACCUGUUUGAGGGCCUUCAGAAAUGCAACAGAGCCACCUGUCUUCUCUACUAAGGUGACGACCCGAUUAUCAGGAAAGUCUGUAACUCUUGCCCCUACGGCAGAGUGGAGUUGAUUGAGUGCCUUCAAGGACUCUCAGCAGGCCAGCUCCCCCAGUUCACCCUCGCCCCACCCCCGGGGCCCAGCCAAUCCUCCAGGGCCCUGCAGAAGGGCUCGCUCAGACCUUCCUUGGCGAGAAGUUCAGAGAAGGGCUAAUCUGUCUGGAAGCUCCUGCAGUACACAUGAGCCAGUGGCCGCUUCUGAGUCCUUGCCCGCUAACAUUCCCAGGAACCCCCUGCCAUCUCUGUGGUCACUCUGGGGUUACACUGUGCAAGGUGAGCAGGGGACAGACUUUAAAAGGGAAAAUUCUUCAGAGCUCAGCCUGAGGAGCCAUUGAUUUGUUCCCCGGAUUCCAUGUUUCUCAAUAUGUGGGAGGGGAAAAAACACGUCCUUUAGACCAGCAUUAUCACUCACUUUGCAAUUGCCUUUGUGUGUGCUGGUCUCAGCUACUGAAUGGUAAAUUCCUUGAAAGUGUGAUUGUAUUUUGUUGAUCAAAUAUCAUACUUAGCAUCAUCUUGGUUUGUCAAUAGGCCUUCAGUCUCUAUGCACUGAGAUUUGAUUGCUUUCAAAUUCUAGCUUGGCCACAUGUUGGUUAUAGGUUACAUAAAUAAAUGUUGGUUGAUUAAAAGAAUGAAUGGGAUCUUCCCUAGUGACCCAGUGGAUAUGAAUUUGCCUUGCAGUGUUGGGGACACAGGUUCAAUCCUUGGUCCGGGAACUAAGAUCUCGCACACUAAGCCUGAGGACUCCAGAGCUCACUUGCUGCAACUCCUGAAGCCUGCAUGCUCUAGAGCCUGUGCUCCACAAGAGAAACCACUGCAAUGAGAAGCCGGCACACCGCAACUGGAGACUAGCCCCCACUCAACGCAGCUAAAGGAAGCCUAAGUGCAGCAACAAUAAAAAAAAAAAAAUUUAAUAUAAAGAAACUAAUAGAUAAAAAUAAAAGAAUGAGUGGAAGAGGA